rnacentral:lncRNA from 1 species
GCCAGGAAAAACGAAGGCAAAGCAUCAGCCAUCAUACAAAAAUGCACUAAAUUCCACCGUCAUCUCUUUUACUCUUUCAUGCAAAAAGAUUAAUUAAAGCAUCAAACGUUAAGCGCUCAGCAGAGGAGAAGUAAAACGCAAAAAGUGCUGCUAAAAAAUAUUUCUUUAAAAAAAUAAUUUCGCAUUAGCUUCAAAGAUCACCUAACUCAUUGUAGCAAAUCAAAUUCUAGCAGCUUGCGUUAAAAAUCCACCAACAAUCGUUGCCAAGGACCUAAUAACUCCCAACAGACAGCAAACAGGAAACAGCAUCAAA